AGUAGUGAGUUUGCUUCUGGACCGAA
rnacentral:piRNA from 1 species